GCGAGAGCAGUAGGCGGGCUUUUUCUUGCGAUUGGCUGUCGAGAUUGCCAGCACUCCCUCUUCCGGUCAAUUCGCUGGUGCGCAGAAGUUGCUAGUCACAGGAGCCACAAUGGCGAUUGUAGUCUCCUUCAGAUAGGGCUGUGGAUGAUACAAAAUCCACCAGCAUCGCCCUAAAUAUAGGCCUGGUUGAUUUCCAGAGCCAUUAAUAAUAAACAGGAACAUCUACUACACACGAAAAUACUAUAAUUUCUAAUCAACAUUGAAUCUAUAGAGGAUAAAACUUACAUUAAAGGGAACAUGUAAACAGCACCAACCGGGUCAAGUUUUCAUUUUGUUGGAGAAACGAGCGUCUUUUACUCAAGGCGUCUGCUUGUUUCUGAAAACUAAGACCGUUAUUCUGUGGAAUAAUAAUACGUUUUCUUAACUUGGCACCGGACAAGGACACCUUUCACAAAGGGACUUUUUUCUUUUUUAAGAGUCUGCUCGCUAGCCGUCGAGCAUUAGCUAGCUGUGCUAGCUACGUUGAGACGGAGGCGACACCACAAUGCUCCUAUGUUUGGUUUGGACCUUCCUCAUUCAGUGACUGUCUCGGAGUGCUAACUUUUCUGCACAGGAAAAUCACCUUGGAUUUUUUGUUCUUGUUUUGGAAAACUACUUUGGUGAGCUAAUGGAAUGAAUUGGCGCUGAGGAGGACAGGACGCGAGCGGCCUAGAGUGUUUAUUUUGUGCUUGUGUUUAUUCUGGUUCUGCUUUGCAACUCUUUGUUUUAACAUUUGAAGUAGCCGUUGUUUUCUCGUGGAUGAAUCUCUCGGAACACGGAAGCCGGCGUGAGGUAUGCCAGGGUCGGACCGACACCAUGGGACCAAGAGGAAGACUGUUUCGAGCGGCGGCGUGCCACACCAGACCCAAGGCCCAGCUCACACCUCUGAGGGAAACAUGACGAGCAAAGAUAGUAAGGCGCUGUUAAAAGCUUCCAUGAUAUCUUCGAAACGAAAACGGCAUAAAUCAAACAAACCUAACCGAGAAUCCGUGGCGGUACCGCGACCCGGGGUUUUUGCCCCGGGUAGUACGGCGCCUCCUGGUGUCAACACGGUGAAGCCUCUGGUAGAGUACGACGACAUCAGUUCCGACUCGGACACUUUCUCGGAUCCCCCGUCCAACAGGCCUUCUGAGAGGGGGGUCGGGGACCGACUGGAUCCCUCCCCUUCUCCCGAACACGAUGGGGACGAUAUCGUCAUAGAACCUGAGCGAGAGAGCAAGGGUCAAAGACACUCUCGGAAAAAGCCCAAGGACCCUAAUAAAGUCAAAGAUUCUGGAAACGGGGAGCAUGGGUACAAGAAAAAGAGCAGCAAAGAUCGUGAAAAAGGUAAUUUUGGGAAAAUCAAGGAGAAAACUGCUUCAUCAGGCUCCUCGUCCAAGCGCCAGCUCCAACCGGAAGGUGACACCAAGCGUGGGGAGUCAACGCUCUCUGUACAGACUGCAGCCAGUGUAGGUAGCACCACAUCCUCCACAUCUUCAUCUCGCAGUAAGGAGAGCGGUCGCUCAGGGAAGACUCAUAAAGAAAAGCAACAGCGGAGAGAAGGCCGAGGAGAUGGAAACCGAAGCUCCUCCCAUAGGAGCCGGACAGACAGGACUCACCGCAAGUCCUCCAAGAGCCACAAGUCGAGCCCUAAGGUGAAGCUGUCAGGCAGGGGAAGCCCUCGCAGAAAGGGCGCCAGCUCUGCUGUACCAUCCAGUCCCAGAAGAGGCAGUGAGAGUCCACUGGGCUCCAACUAUGGACAACAGGGGGAUGAUGGGUACUCCAGGCGGAGGUUAGCCCAGAAGAGCCCCAGCCCUUACAGGGAUUUGUCCCACCGCAGCAGGCAAAGAUCGGACAGCCCUUAUGUCAACAGGCACAGGUCCUCCAGCUGUGAGAGGGACAGCAGCCCUUACUCCAGGAGGCGCUCUAUCAGCCCCUAUGUCAGCCGGAGGUCCUCCAGCUUAAGCCCAGCGUCUCGACGCUCAGGCCGUUCCAGAAGUCGUUCCCCGCUACACUACUCCUCUCGCCGCUCCUCGUCUCGUUCACGCAACAAAAGGCAUCCGUCUUCAGCUUUAGGAGGCGGCAGCUCCCACACUGGUCGUCCUGCUAGCCGCUCCCCACCUUCAUCUCGCUUACCCCUUAAUUCCAGCUUGGGUGCAGAGCUCACACGCAGAAAAAAAGAGCGCCUGGCCGCUGAGGCGGCCGCCCGCGCCAAUGCCAGUGGUACCUCUUCCCCUCUUCCAUCCACCCAAAAACUCGCUAGUGCCACAUCUUCACGGCCCACUAAAACUGAGCCGCCACAGGUAGAAAGAGACUCUGUAGCGAAGGUGGAAACCCAGGCUCAAGCAACAGCACAAAUAGCCUCUAAUACUCCCAGGAGUGAGGAUCAAGUUACAGCACCUUUACCUUCCUCUCCCACCAAUUCCCCUGCUCCUCCUGAGCCCUCCCCUCCUGUGCCCCCGUCACCUGUCACACAGGUGCCACCCCCGCCACCACCGCCUCCUCAGCCAGAAGGGGCUAAUCAACCCGCCACGCAUCACACAUCCCAGGCAAAAUCGCCAGGGUUUGUUCCUGCACACAGUCCUGUCCGCCAGACACCACUCCACAAAACAUCCACUCUGCCCCCCCUCCCUCUGCCCCCGAUGCUGCUGGGAAACACUCAGGACAGCCCAAAGAAAUCCACGCCUCCCCAGCGUCCAUCGAGAAAGGAAAAGUCGUCUAGCAGCCGCCCGUCUCUCAUUGAUCUCCCUCUGCCGCCCACUUUGCCUGGAGUUAACUCAUCGCCGCCUCAGUCGCCUGUCCGCCAGCCGCCACCUGUCCCCCAGCAGCCCCUCAAGAAGAGACCAAAGAUUUGUUCCCCACGUUACGGUGAGAGAAAACAUAACUUGAGUGACUGGGGGAAACGCUGUGUGGACAAAUUUGAUAUCAUUGGGAUCAUAGGCGAAGGCACAUAUGGCCAAGUGUACAAGGCGAAGGACAAAGACACAGGGGAACUUGUUGCUUUGAAGAAAGUGCGGUUGGACAAUGAAAAAGAGGGAUUCCCUAUCACCGCCAUCAGAGAGAUAAAGAUCUUGAGGCAGCUCAAACAUCGCAGUGUUGUCAACAUGAAGGAAAUUGUUACCGACAAGCAGGAUGCACUAGACUUCAAAAAGGACAAAGGUGCAUUUUAUUUAGUAUUCGAGUACAUGGACCACGACCUGAUGGGCCUUCUGGAGUCAGGCCUGGUCCAGUUCUCCCACGAACACAUCCGCAGCUUCAUGCGUCAGCUCAUGGAGGGCCUGGACUACUGCCAUAAGAACAACUUCCUGCACAGGGACAUCAAAUGUUCCAACAUACUGCUCAACAACAGAGGUCAGAUCAAACUGGCAGACUUUGGUUUGGCUCGACUUUACAACUCUGAAGAAAGUCGACCUUACACUAAUAAAGUAAUCACACUAUGGUACCGUCCUCCUGAACUGCUGCUUGGGGAGGAGAGGUAUUCCCCAGCCAUUGAUGUUUGGAGCUGCGGGUGUAUUCUUGGAGAGCUCUUCACUAAAAAACCAAUAUUUCAGGCAAACCAGGAACUUUUACAAUUGGAACUCAUCAGCCGUCUGUGUGGAAGUCCUUGUCCUGCGGCGUGGCCCGAUGUCAUCAAACUUCCACUCUUCAAUACCAUGAAGCCCAAGAAGCAGUACAGACGGCGGCUACGAGAGGAGUUUGCCUUUUUGCCUUCUCCUGCGCUGGACCUGCUGGACCGAAUGUUGACCCUCGACCCUUCACGUCGCUGCACAUCGGAGCAAGCUCUUCUCAGUGACUUUCUUACUGAUGUCGAUCCUGGCAGGAUGUCGCCACCAGAUCUUCCUCAUCACCAGGACUGUCACGAGUUGUGGAUUAAAAAGAAAAGACGUGCACGUCAAAGUGGGUUGCCUGAGGAUGUGCCUGUGCCCAAAGUGCUCCGUAAAGAUAUGGCUGGGACCUCCAGUGGAGAGAACAGCCGACCCCAAAGCAGCCCGCCUGGAGCUCCGCCCCCACCCCCAGGAAAGCCGCCCUCCACAGCCAAACUAGACAGUGAACUGACAGGUCUUGGAGCGGCCGCAGAGCAACUGAAUCAAACUGAGCUGGCCGUGCUGCUUAACCUCCUCCAGGGACAGACUGACCUAAAGCUGCCCCAAGUGGCCCAGCUCCUUAACCUCUCUGACUCAGACACUGUCAGCCAGUUGCUAUCAACUCUCAAUGAGGCCUCUGACCACCAGGGGGCUGCAGAGGACCAGGCUCAGCCUCCUGCCUCAUCACAGCCUCCUGAGCCGCCUCCCGAACCCCAGGAGGCCUCACCCACAUCUGGAGAACCUCCGCUCAGCCAGGAAGACCAGGCCAGCCUGCUGGCUCUCAUUCUGGGCCAAAUCAUAAAACCUCAAACCGAGGAGCAAAGCGAUGAAAGCAAUGGCGUUAAGUCAGAGGAGGCGCUGACACGCGAUGGUGGCGCGUCGAAAAGGAAACAAGUUCUGCCUGACCCGUUACCUCCAAGCGGUGAGCAGCGCCCCCCGUCUCCACCCGGGUCACCUCCAGCAGGUCCUCUCCUGGUGAACUCCCAACAAGCCGAGUCAGAAACUCGGCCUAGCAACCAGGGCAUCAGCCCUGCUGUGGCUGCUGCCUUGCUUCAGCUCAUCUCCCAGCAGGACCUGGAGGUCGUGACCUCCAAGCAAAGCAAAGACCCCUCCCCGGCUGUAGAUGCCACAGGCUGUGAAGACCCCACCCCAACCUGGAUUGCGGACUCUCCUGUUAAAUCUUCAGCCCCAGCUGAGGCCCCGGUAGCGCUGGGUGCUGCUGCUCCCACCACUUCGGCACAGUUCCCCAAGGACCAGGAUCUGCGAUUUUCCCAUGGAACCGCCCGCUGAUCUCCAAUCCACUGGUGACCUUAAUGUUGGGUAUCAUGAGACAACUCCAGCAGUCCAGGCCUGAGGGGAAAGGAAAGGCAGAUGGAGAAUGCAGCCACAGAAAGUGAUUCACUGGACCAAGAGCAGCUUGCUGAGGUGACACCCUGUGUGUGCAGUGUGACACUGAGCUGUCACCUCCCACUCCUUGCAUCACACCUCUGCCCCCUGCUGGGCAAACCGCGUCACGGCAUCCAGACGCCGCCUCCGCCUCCACUGGCUCCACGGAACAUAACUUCACAUUUUGUCACGCUUUUAAUCAAAGCUUUCUUUUUGGAGUGAGGUUAUGUGAUAACUUCAAACUAUUAUGUUUUCUGAUUAUUUUGCAAUUUCAAAUACUGUAUUUGUUUAUAUUUUUGGCCACAAUAUUUUUUUAACCUACCAAGGCCCUUUGGUCAGCCCUUGCAUAUGUAAGGGCUUGAUGUAUGACACAGAAUUAGCUUUAUUGCAGAAGUAUAAUUUUACACUGCAAAAUAGAAGAAAAAAAUCCAACCUUCAUCGUAGACAAACUUGUACAUUGAGGGCAAAAAUAAUAUUAAAUAAGUCCUACAAUUAAAAAAUAGUUUUUAUUAAAAUGAGUAGUUUUACCAUAUUCUCAGCACUUAGUUUUUGUUACUUGUUAUUUUUUCAAAUUAUAGUUGACAAAGAUAGCAGAGAGAGGGAUCUGGAUCUUUGACCUUUCUUCUUUGCUCAAUCUUUAAAUCAGCCAGAGUUCUGGAUCCUCUCUGAUGUCUUCUUCUCAGCAGCUCAAUGUGAGUUUAGGUCUUAAAACAUUCCACCUGGAAUGUUUGUUUUUUGAAAGUUCAUUAUUAAUUUCAUAAGAGUAAAUCAAAGAGAGGGAUUUAGCAACUCUUCAUGUUUGUAUUUUUGAUAGUAGGAAAGAAAAGCCUUUUUUUAUUUUUCCUGACAUGCCUUUGAAACAGUUUCUUUGGAUUAUAGAUUGCUGGUUAUGAAGAUUUGUUAAUGCCAAGAUGUCACUAUUUGGUGCAACAAUAAUCAUUUUUCUACCCUCCCUCCAAUCCUCAGUGAUAUUAAGAUAAACUUGGUCCUGAAAACCCUUUAUAUUGUCUAAACAUGCUGCAAAUAAAUAUUAAAAUAAACAUUGUUUUUAUUGUUAAAAUACUCUGAUACCAUACAAUUUUCCAUUUGUUUUUCAGCCCUAACAACAUCCUCGUUAUCUCAGAGAUGAUGAUCUCACACACAUCCUAAAUUUCUGACCUGUUACAGUCCUCAGUUUAAUAUUUCCCAACUCACAACUUGACAAGCUGGAGAAGAGCCACAGAUUCUGACACAUGCAGAUGCUCCAACAUCAAAUUAAUAUCUUUUACAAAGACUUUUUUGGCUACUGUUCUGCAGGUUUGAUGAAUAUUUUAGCACUUGCUGCAAUUAACGACAAGAAAGUUGCCAGGAAGUAAAGCUGAGAAUAAUUUACAAUCUUGUAAACAUAUGAAAGACUUGGAUAAAAGAAAUGGUGCAUGACCUUUUUACAGGCCA